UACGAAGGGUGCAAGCGUUAAUCGGAAUUACUGGGCGUAAAGCGCGCGUAGGCGGCUUUUCAAGUCGAUUGUGAAAUCCCCGGGCUUAACCUGGGAACUGCAGUCGAGACUGUCUAGCUAGAGUAUGGGAGAGGGAAGUGGAAUUUCAGGUGUAGCGGUGAAAUGCGUAGAUAUCUGAAGGAACAUCAGUGGCGAAAGCGACUUCCUGGACCAAUACUGACGCUCAUGUGCGAAAGCGUGGGGAGCAAACAGGAUUAGAAACCCUGGUAGU
rnacentral:rRNA from 1 species